rnacentral:rRNA from 1 species
CCUACGGGUGGCAGCAGUGAGGAAUAUUGGUCAAUGGUCGCGAGCCUGAACCAGCCAAGUAGCGUGAAGGAGGAAUGCCCUGCGGGUUGUAAACUUCUUUUGUCAAGGAAUAAAGUGUGGCACGCGUGCCUUUUUGUGUGUACCUUAUGAAAAAGGAUCGGCUAACUCCGUGCCAGCAGCCGCGGUAAUACGGAGGAUUCGAGCGUUAUCCGGAUUUAUUGGGUUUAAAGGGUGCGUAGGGGGGUUGGUAAGUCAGGUGUGAAAGUUUGGGGCUCAACCGCAAAACUGCAUUUGAUACUGGCAGUCUUGAGUACAGUUGAGGUAGGCGGAAUGCGUGGUGUAGCGGUGAAAUGCUUAGAUAUCGCGAAGAACUCCGAUUGCGAAGGCAGCUUGCUAAACUGACACUGACAUUGAUGCUCGAAAGUGUGGGUAUCAAACAGGAUUAGAUACCCGAGUAGUC